GGAUUUUAUUGGGUGUAAAGGGCGCGUAGGCGGUUUUAGUAAGUUAGAUGUGAAAUCUCGGAGCUCAACUUCGAGCCUGCAAUUUAAAACUACUUUACUCGAGGGUAGACGGAAGAAAACGGAAUUCCACAUGUAGCGGUGAAAUGCGUAGAUAUGUGGAGGAACACCUGUGGCGAAAGCGGUUUUCUUAGUUUAUUCCUGACGCUGAGGCGCGAAAGCGAGGGGAGCAAACAGGCUUAGAUAUCCUGGUAGUCCUCGCCGUAAACGAUGCAUACUUGGUGUAGCUGGACUCAACCCUAGCUGUGCCGUAGCUAACGUGUUAAGUAUGCCACCUGAGGAGUACGCUCGCAAGAGUGAAACUCAAAAGAAUUGACGGGGGCCCGCACAAGCAGUGGAGCAUGUGGUUUAAUUCGAUGCAACGCGAAGAACCUUACCCAGACUUGACAUGUAGAGGACCGCACCAGAGAUGGUGUUUCCCGCAAGGGCUUCUACACAGGUGCUGCAUGGCU
rnacentral:rRNA from 1 species